rnacentral:sRNA from 1 species
GGUUUAAACCCCAGUAUCUCAAGGUACUAAGGGAGUCCGACCUACCUCUAAGGUUGUGUCGAAACCUCAAUUUUUGGAGCGCCUUCCCGGGGUCAUCCGGGAGGGCAAA